CGUGAGAAAAUGGGUUGGAGC
rnacentral:miRNA from 1 species